UUGAAAGGAGCGAUAAAAUGGGGGAUUCCUGCAUGGCGGAGAUAAACUUAAGGAUGCUUACUAUACUACCAUCUUUUUAAACAUCAUCAUUCGUUAACAUAUACGCAACUGUAGUCCAUGUCUGGACGCUGCUAAGUGCGGUAACGCAACCGGCCACGGAGACAUCAAUUGGAGUUCCAGAAAGAGUUUUCUUUUUUUGCAAAGAGUGUUUAUCACGUCUGGAAUCGGGUUUUCCGGAGAUAGGGGUUUUGCGUCGGUGAAGCAACACUCCUCUAGUGGUUUCCGGAUCAAUCUAGUUGGUCCUUGAAAAUUCGAGGGAGGCACUAUGAUUUUCGUGACAGGCUGUACCCAUAUCCGUAUCGGGUCUCGAAGGUGAACAACCUCU
rfam:Schistocephalus solidus strain NST_G2 genome assembly, scaffold: SSLN_scaffold0007942